rnacentral:rRNA from 1 species
UACGUAGGGGGCAAGCGUUGUCCGGAAUCAUUGGGCGUAAAGCGCGUGUAGGCGGCUCGGUAAGUCCGCUCUGAAAGUCCGGGGCUCAACCCCGGGAGGCGGGUGGAUACUGUCGAGCUCGAGUCCGGAAGAGGCGAGUGGAAUUCCUGGUGUAGCGGUGAAAUGCGCAGAUAUCAGGAGGAACACCGAUGGCGAAGGCAGCUCGCUGGGACGUGACUGACGCUGAGACGCGAAAGCCAGGGGAGCAAACAGG